rnacentral:misc_RNA from 1 species
AUAUAUAUAGGUAGCUUGCAUUUUGUUUCAAUAAUAAAUUACUUACUUUCAGUAGUUAAAUAAGAUAUAAAAUUUUCUUGCGAUGAAAAUAAUAUUGGUACUAUAUGAUACGAAGUAUCUUUCUGAACCUCUUCCAUAUUAAAAUUUUCACUUUUCAUAUUUUUUACGAUAUUUAAAAGAGAAUGAAGUAAAAGUGUUUUUUGAGAUGCUGUAUUAGGGAAUUUUGAAAAAUAUGACCGUACUUUUUUAUUUUUUGUCUCUGUUAUCAUCAUUGUCUUUGAUUCUGAAAAAAAACAUUGUGAUGUAGCAUUAGUUAAUUCUAGUAAACUAUUUUCAAUAGUAUCAACAAUUUUAUUUGUUUCAUUUUGUUUCUUUUUAGCUUUUUUUGGCAAUUUUUUAUAUACUUUUUUUUGUGGCAAAUUAUAAGCAACUCUCCAUAUUCGUACUGUAGAAUCUGCAGAGCCUGUUAUAAUAAAAUCAGGGUCUAAUGGACUCCACAUGCAACACAAUACUGGGCCAUUGUGUCCUGUAUAUGUAGCUAUUAAUUCUUGAGUUCUAACAUUCCAUAUCUAAAA